UAGGGACUAAAUCGAAUAAGUUGUAAAACUUGCAUUCUAGAAGUUUUUAGUAUAAAAUUGUUUUGGAAUAUUAAUGAGGUCUAAAAUAGAAAUUUGACCAAUUUUAAGUUCAUGGACAAAAUUAGGACAUGGAAAGAAUUUUUGGAAAGUUUAGUAGUAAGGGUAUUUUGGUCAUUUAGUUAUUAAAAUGAAUUAAAAACAAAAUGAAAAGCUAAUUUUUGUCCAUCUUCUUCAUUAGGCUGAAAUUUCAAGGGUUUUCUAUAGCUAGGGUUUGUUUCAAGCUUCUAAGCUUCAUAAUAAGUAAUUCCAAGCCCCAUUUUUAAUAUUCUUUACGUUUUUAGAAUCCCGGUAGUUCGAUUAAGCUUAUGUUAGCAAUAAUUCAACCUAGGGUUUAUAUUUGAAAAAAAUACCCAUAGGUGAAAUUUGUGUAUUAUGAUGUUUUAUGAUAGAAUAUGAGGUUUUAAAUUAUGUUAGACAACUUGUGCUACUCGGUUUUGAGUGAAAACGAGUAAAAGGGCUUAAUCGACAAAAAUACCUAAUAGUCACAAGUAUAUGUUAGAGAGAGAAUUUGAUGUUGCCAUAGAAGGAAAAACUGAUCAGCAUGUUAUAAAAUAUAAGAAUAAGGAAUAAAGUUUAAUUCCCGAGCCUAGAGGCAAAAGUUUAAUUAUGCAAAAAUUUAGGGGCAAAAGUGUAAUUUUUUUAAAGUUCGUAUUAAAUGCUGUUUUAAUGAAUGUAUGUAUUAAAUAAGAUUAAUUUGGUAUUAUAGAUCAAUAAAAAUGAGAUUCAAGUCGCGAUCGAGGAAAAGAAAAGAUUGUGGACUAAAUUGUAAAAUUUUUAUAUUUUGGUACCAAGGUAAGUUCAUGUGUAAAUGUAGUAAAAUAAUUGUCAUUUUAAGCAAUUUAAUGUUUAUAUGAUAUGAUGUUGAUUAUUAUCAUGAAAUAUUAUGCUUUGUGGUUAUUGUUGAAUAAUAUGUAAUUAUAUGAAUUACUUGAUGAGUAUGAACUAUCAUCGAAGUACCGAUUUCGAUAAUCCGUGGAAGGCGGCAAAGAUGUGUCAUCGAGGAAAACGUCCGUUUGAACCUUAGGAAUAUAUUAGGAUACAAGUGACAUGUCACUAGAAUGGUUGAGCAUCUGAACUCGUUGAGUUGAGUCCGAGUUCACUUAUUGAUGCGAAUGUCUGAACUCGUUGAUUUGAGUCCGAGUUCGUGAAAUGUAACUAGGCAUCCGACCUCGUUGAGUUGAGUUCGAGUUCACUUAUGGAUGCGAACGCCCGAGCUCGUUGAGUUGAGUCUGAGUUCACUUAUGGGCGGGUUACAUGGUAGCUUAAUUAUAUAUGAGGCAUUUAUGUGCAAAUUAUCCGUGUAUCCAAGUUGUAUUUCGAUGUGUUCAACGGGUGAAAUUUCUAGUGAAAUGGAAGAACACUUAAGAUGCAAGCGAUGUUUUGGUAAGUGUUGUGAAAUGGAAACUUUGGACAGGUAUGUUCUUAACCCUCGGGUUGAAAAUAGAUACAACAAUGAUAAGGUGGUAAGAUGAGGAAUGAUGUUUAGAAAUGUGAUAUAUGUUUUGGUGAUACCAUGCUAAAAUUGUUUGGUAUAUUUGUAUUGUUAUGUUACUUGUUAUUUACAUAUGAACUUACUAAGCAUUUAUGCUUACUCUCUCCUUUUUAUUUACUGUAGUUUUGAACAAGUCAGCUCGGGAAUCAGGACGAGUCGAAGGUUCGAUCACACUAUCCAAAGGACUUUCAUCUGGGUAAAUGGCUUGUAAAACUUAAGUAUGGCAUGUAUAGCAAUAUACUUAUUUUGUGUAAAUAAUUUUAUGAUAUGGCCAUGUUUGGUUGAGAAAAUGUUUGAUAUUGAUAAGUCAUUAUGAUGGCUAAUUUAGACCAUGUUUGAUAUUAUGAAGUUUAAUAGGUUAUCUAGUUCAUAAAAAUUCAUGGAAAGAUGAAACUUGCCUUAAAACAGAAUAUUGAUGCAGCAAUGACAUGAAUUUAAAAAAUCACUAAAAAUAGUAUAAAUGGAAAUAAAUGAUGAGUAAGUUAUGAAAUUGAAGCUUAAUGAGUCUAUUUUCAUGUGGAUUGAACAAAACAGGUAUAUAAAUUAUAUUUUAUGAGAUAUUUAAACUUUUGUGAAACAGGACCAGAGUGAUUUCUGGAUCCCCUGUUCUGAUUUUAAAAAUUCAUAAUAAAUUUUACAAAAAUAAUUAGAAGUUGUUUUUUAUAUUUACAGGUUCUUUAUUGAGUCUAGUUUUAAGAGAAAAAACCUCAGUCAUUUAAUUUCUGUAUAGAGAAAUAUCUGAUUCGUAAUACACAGAUGUCAGAGCAGUCGAACCUUGAAACAGGGGAAACUUUAACUAAUAAACUGUACUAAUUGGCCCAACCAAAAAUUCUAGAAAAAAAUUAGUAAAUAGAUAUAUGAGUCUAUAUUUAGGGAAAAUUUACAGAUAUAGAUUUCGAGUUUCGUAACUCAAGAUAUGAUUUUUCUUGUAACUGUGACGCGGGUAGUUAGAAAGCUGUGAAUGUAGAAAUAAACGAUUUGAAGUUCUUAAUUUGAUAAAUAUUGUUCGGUAACCCCUCAAGCUCGACUCCGGCGAUGGUCUCGGGCGUGGGGGCGUUACAUUUAAUGGUAUCAGAGCAGGUUUAGUCGGUUCUCGGACUACGUGUUGUAUGUACAGAUUUUGCUAUACAUGCCAUAUGUAUGAAUUGUGAUAGUGUGACGACUUCUGACAUUUUUAAAUGAUUUUUAUAUAGUAAAUGGAUCCCGAUCCAGCUGUGGCAGAUGAAGUAGAGAGUAAUGCGCCAGCUCCGGCUGAAGGGGCAGCGCCGACUGAAAACCCACCUCCUACUGUUGGUCAGGGAGGAGGAGAAAGGGAUCGGGAAGCCUUUCUCCAAAUGAUGAGUGCAUGGUACACUGAGUUCGUUCGUACGAACCCAAAUGUACGACCUCCCCCACCUCCCCCAAUUCCUCAACCUAUGCCUCCGAUGCCUCAAGGAGUGGAUAUGAUAAAAUUUAAUAAAACCCCCGUUGAUAGAAUUCGUAAACAAGGGGCUGAAGAAUUUAGAGCAAAUAUUGAUGAUGAUGCAGAGAAAGCAGAGUUCUAGCUUGAAAAUUCUGUCCGGGUAUUUGAUGAAUUAUCUUGUACACCUGAAGAAUGUUUGAAAUGUGCUACAUCUUUGUUGAGAGAUUCAGCCUAUAAUUGGUGGAAGACUUUGAUUUCGGUGGUACCGAACGAGAGGGUAACCUGAGAAUUCUUUCAAGAAGAGUUUCGGAAGAAAUAUAUUAGUGAAAGAUUUAUUGAUCAGAAAUGUAAAGAGUUUCUUGAGCUGAAGCAAGGUAAUAUGACAAUCUCAAAAUAUGAAAGAGAGUUUGUUCGAUUAAGUAUGCCAGGGAAUAUGUUCUUACAGAAGCCAAGAUGUGCCGACGAUUUGAAGACGGGCUCAACGAAGACAUUAAGGUAUUUGUCGGGAUCCUUGAACUGAAAGAAAUGGUAGUACUGGUUGAUCGAGCUUGUAAGGCUGAAGAACUACUAAAGGAAAAGAAAAAGGUAGAAUCUGAAACACGAAAUUGGAAGAAAAGACCAAUGAGUAAUGCACCUUCACAGCAACCCGAAAAGUCAAGAAAUAUGAAUCCUCGUUCCCAAGUUUCAGCUGGGUAAUCAUAUGGAAAUUUUAAGAAGCAGAAUGUGGGUCCUAAAUCUCAGACUACUUCUGCGGCUAGUGUGGGAAAUACGAGAUUUUUUAAACCCGAGUGCCAGCGGUGUGGUAGAAAUCAUUUUGGUCCGUGCAGAGCAAAUGAAUGUUUUCGAUGUGGUUCUCCGAAUCAUUUUAUUAGAGACUGCCCAUAGAGAGCUGAGAAAGAAAAAUUUCAGAGUGUAAAAGCUAGUGGUGUAAACUCGAGGGGAAGGUAUUCGAGAAAAGCUGGAAGUGAAACAAGCAGUAGGAAUGUAGCCAGAGAUGCAGAAGUUAGAUCUGAGGGAAGAGCUCCGGCUAGAACUUAUGCUAUUAAAGCGCGUGAAGAUGCUUCCUCACCCGAUGUGAUUACUGGUACAUUCUCUUUAUGAUAUUAAUGUUAUUGCUUUGAUUGAUCCUGGUUCUACUCAUUCAUAUGUAUGCAUGAAACUGGUGUCUAGUAUGAAUAUACCUGUUGAGAACACAGAAUUUAUGAUUAGAGUGUCGAAUCCACUAGGCAAAUGCGUGAUAGUUGAUAAAAUAAGUAAGAAAUGCCCUUUAAUGAUUCGGGGUCAUUACUUUUCGGCCGACUUGAUGAUGUUGCCGUUUGAUGAAUUUGAUGUUAUUUUGGGUAUGGAUUGGUUGACAUUGCAUGAUGCUAUAAUAAAUUACAAAGAAAAGGUUAUAGAAUUAAAGUGUGAAAGUGGUGAAAUUCUGCGGGUUGAGCCAGACAAAUCAAAGGCAUUAUCUAGUAUUUCUUCGAUGUCGGCUCAGAGAUAUUUGAGAAAGGGUUAUGAAGCUUAUUUGGCGUAUGUAAUUAAUACAAAAGAAUUUGAAAAAAAAGUUGAAUUAGUGCCGGUUGUGUGUGAAUUUGCGGACGUAUUUCUAGAAAAAUUACCGGGUUUGCCUCCAGUCAGGGAAGUAGAAUUUGGUAUAGAUUUGAUACCGGGAACAGCUCCGAUCUCGAUUGCUCCAUAUAGAAUGGCACCAACAGAGUUGAAAGAAUUAAAGUCGCAGUUGCAAGAGUUGACUGAUAAAGGCUUUGUGAGAUCGAGUUUUUCACCUUGGGGUGCUCCCGUGUUAUUUGUGAAAAAGAAGGAUGGUUCUAUGAGAUUAUGUGUUGAUUAUCGGCAGUUAAACAAGGUGACAAUAAAAAACAAGUAUCUGUUGCCGAGAAUUGAUGAUUUGUUUGAUCAGCUAAAAGGAACGACAUGGUUUUCAAAGAUUGACUUGAGAUCUGGGUAUUAUCAGCUGCGAGUAAAAGAGUCAGAUGUGCCUAAAACUGCUUUUAGAACAAGGUACGGUCAUUAUGAAUUUUUAGUUAUGCCGUUCGGGUUGACAAAUGCUCCUGCUGUGUUUAUGGACUUAAUGAAUUGCAUAUUUCGGCCAUACCUGGACAGAUUUAUUGUGGUGUUUAUAGAUGAUAUUUUAAUUUAUUCAAAAGAUGAGACAGAGCAUGCUGAGCAUUUGAGGAUAAUUUUGCAAACUUUGAGAGAUAAGCAGCUGUAUGUUAAGUUUAGUAAAAGUGGAUUUUGGCUCCGGGAAGUUGGAUUUUUGGGUCAUAUUGUUUCAGGUGAUGGUAUAUGGGUUGAUCCUAGUAAAAUUUCAGCCAUUGUUGAUUGGAAACCACCGAAAAACGUAAUUGAAGUUAGAAGUUUCUUGGGGCUAGCUGGGUAUUAUCGGCGGUUCGUAAAUGGAUUUUCUAUAAUUGCUACUCCUAUGACUAGACUACUCCGAAAGGAUGUUAAAUUUGAAUGGACGUAAGAAUGUCAACAGAGUUUCGAAGAAUUGAAAAAGUUAUUAACUGAAGCACCAGUAUUGAUACAACCCGAAUCAGGUAAAGAAUUCGUGGUGUAUAGUGAUGCUUCUCUAAAUGGUUUGGGGUGUGUACUCAUGCAAAAAGGAAAAGUGGUGGCUUAUGCUUCGAGACAGUUAAAACCUCAUGAGAAGAAUUAUCCUACUCACGAUUUGGAAUUGGCUGCGGUGGUAUUUGCUUUGAAGAUUUGGCGACAUUAUUUGUAUGGUGAAAAGUGCCGAGUAUAUACCGAUCACAAAAGUCUUAAAUACUUGAUGUCACAAAAAGACUUGAAUUUGAAACAACGAAGAUGGUUAGAGUUAUUGAAAGAUUAUGAGCUUGUUAUCGAUUAUCAUCCGGGAAAAGCGAAUGUGGUUGCCGAUGCUUUAAGCAGAAAGUUGUUGUUUGCUUUGAGAGUUAUGAACACUCAAUUGAAAAUUUCAAAUGACGGUUCGAUUCUAGCAGAGUUAAGAGCAAGACCGAUGUUUUUACAAGAGAUUUCUGAAGCUGAAAAAAAUGAUCAAGAUUUGCUAGCCAAAAGAAAACAGUGUGAAGCUGAUACGGGAUCAAAUUUCAGAAUCGGUUCUAAUGGUUGUUUGAUGUUUAAAAAUCAGAUUUGUGUAUCGAAAAAUGAUGAGUUGAUUCAAAAGAUUUUGCAUAAAGCACAUAAUAGUUGUUUAGCGGUUCAUCCGGGCAGUACGAAGAUGUAUAAUGACUUGAAGAAAAUGUACUGGUGGAGUGGAAUGAAAAGAGAUAUUUCCGAGUUUGUAUCAAAGUGCUUAGUUUGUCAACAAGUGAAAGCUGAACACCAAGUACCUUCGGGAUUACUUCAGCCUAUUAUGGUUCCUGAAUGGAAAUGAGAUCGGAUUACUAUGGAUUUUAUAUCAGGGUUGCCGUUAACUCCAGGGAAGAAAAAUGCAUCAGGACAAUAGUUGACAGACUGACUAAAUCGGCUCAUUUUAUUCCGGUACGUACAGAUUAUUCUCUUAAUAAGUUAGCUGAAUUGUAUAUCCGAGAGAUUGUUAGACUUCAUGGGAUACCUCUGUCAAUCAUUUCGGAUAGAGAUCCGAGGUUUACCUCACGGUUUUGGAAAAAGUUGCAAGAAGCAUUAGGUACAAAGUUAAAUUUCAGCACUGCCUUUCAUCCACAAACUGAUGGACAAUCAAAGAGAGUAAUUCAGAUUCUUGAAAACAUGCUCAGAUGUUGCGUAUUGGAAUUUCAAAAUAGUUGGGAAAGGUACUUACCAUUGGUAGAAUUUGCUUAUAAUAAUAGUUAUCAGGCAAGUUUGAAGAUGGCACCUUAUGAAGCAUUAUAUGGUCGUAAAUGUCGGACGCCAUUGUAUUGGACUGAACUCAAGGAAAGUCAAAUUUAUGGAGUUGAUUUAAUAAAAGAAACCGAAGAAAAGGUGAAAGUGAUUCGAGAUUGUUUGAAAGCUGCUUCAGAUAGACAGAAAUCUUAUGCGGAUUUGAAACGAAAAGAAAUGGAGUUUCAAGUUGGUGAUAAGGUAUUUUUGAAAGUGUCUCCAUGGAAGAAAGUCCUUAGAUUUGGACGAAAGGGCAAGUUAAGUCCGCGUUUUAUUGGACCGUAUGAAAUAAUUGAAAAAGUUGGACCGGUAGCAUAUCAGCUAGCGUUACCACCUGAAUUAGAGAAGAUUCAUGAUGUGUUUCAUGUAUUUAUGUUACGUCGGUAUCGUUCGGAUCCUUCACAUAUAAUUUCACCGACAGAAGUUAAACUACGACCGGAUAUGACUUAUGAAGAAGAACCGAUUAAGAUUUUAGCUCGAGAAGUCAAACAACUAAGAAAUAAAAGUGUUGCACUUGUGAAAGUGUUGUGGCAAAAGCAUGGGGUAGAAGAGACUACAUGGGAACCUAAAGAAACUAUGAGAAACCAAUAUCCACACCUGUUUACCGGUAAGAUUUUCGAGGACGAAAAUCCUUAAAAGGGGGGAGAGUUGUAAUAUCCUGAAUUAGGGCUUAAUCGGAAUAGUGGUUUGGUGACCACAAAUCCGAGAUAGAAAUAAUAAUUUUAUAAUUAUUUUGAUGAUUAUGAUAUGAUUGCAUGAUUGUGUGAAAAUUUCGUGAUGAAAUUCUAUGCCUAAAGUGCUUAAAUUGAAAGUAGGGACUAAAUCGAAUAAGUUGCAAAACUUGCAUUCUAGAAGUUUUUAGUAUGAAAUUGUUUUGGAAUAUUAAUGAGGAGGUCUUAAAUAGAAAUUUGACCAAUUUUAAGUUCAUGGACAAAAUUAUGGACAUGGAAGGAAUUUUGGAAAGUUUAGUAGUAAGGGUAUUUUGGUCAUUUAGUUAUUAAAAUGAAUUAAAAACAAAAUUAAAAGCCAAUUUUUGUCCAUCUUCUUCAUUAGGCCGAAAUUUCAAGGGUUCUCCAUAGCUAGGGUUUGUUUCAAGCUUCCAAGCUCCAUAGUAAGUGAUUCUAAGCCUCGUUUUUAAUGUUCUUUACGUUUUUAGAAUCCCGGUAGCUCGAUUAAGCUUAUGUUAGCAAUAAUUCAACCUAGGGUUUAUAUUUGGAAAAAUACCCAUAGGUGAAAUUUGUGUAUUAUGAUGUUUUAUGAUAGAAUAUGAGGUUUUAAAUUAUGUUAGAC
rnacentral:lncRNA from 1 species